UCCGCGGCAAAGCUCUCAAUUAGAUGCCGAGGUUGGAUGGAAGCGAUGAGAUCCAUACAACGUACAUCUGGAGAAGCCAAGAGACGUCAAACCUCAUACAAGCAGAUUAAUCUUUGGGCAAUUUGCAAGAUUAAAGAAUUAGCAUGAACACGGCGCUCUCUGCUCCAUCGCUGGAAGUGUCGGCUCACAUCUCCUGCGCAGAUCCAUCAAGUGCCAAAUUGGAGACAAAAGGACGUUAGCCUAGAGGGUUUCAAGGUGGAUGUUAUUGGAAGGAGAAACAUUUAACCCCUCAAUGCUGGGUAGAUUAAGAGGAAGGAAGGAAAAGAUUCUCAGGCAAGACUCAAUAUCUGGGAUGUACAAAGAGACCUCAGAGACACAGACAUUUAGAGAGCAUUAAAAAUAUUGAAGAAGGCAUUGGAGCACACGCUGUUUUCUACGGUUCCCGAAGCCUCCAUGAUUCUGCUCCUGUGGGACUCACAUCCAGCACUAUUGAUUUUUAUAUAACAUAGAAAGGAGGUGACAGACUUUAGAAAGUAUCCGGGAAAAAAAAGCUAACUCUUUUUUGGAUUCUGAGCUUAAAACUUUGAAUCCCCCCCGGCCUAAAUGCUAAAACUAAUUUUUCUACCGUCCUUCAUUGUAAACCAAGUUUUAGAGUGUUUAUUUCUUGUUGUAAAGCCAGAGGCCAUGUCCAGAUUGUAGAAACAACUGCAUGCCAGAAAUAAAGG